rnacentral:hammerhead_ribozyme from 1 species
AUUUAGCUGGCGAGUCCCAAACAGGACGAAACACACGUCCUGGAU